rnacentral:rRNA from 1 species
GUCUAUGGCCAUGCUACCCUGAACAAGCCCGAUCCCGUCUCAUCUCGGAAGCUAAGCAGUGUUGGGCCUGGUUAGUACUUGAAUGGGAGACCACCUAGGAAGACCAGGUGCUGUAGGCA